GAUCAAGCGACUAAGUGCAUAUGGUGGAU
rnacentral:rRNA from 1 species